GGUCAUGAGUGCCAGCAGAUAGCCCCGGCUUGCUGGCCGGCAACCCUCCAACCGCGGUGGGGUGCCCCGGGUGAAGACCUGGCCGUACGCAAACAGGCGUACCGGCAAGCGCGGGCC
rnacentral:ncRNA from 2 species